rnacentral:rRNA from 1 species
UAUUCCCCACUGCUGCCUCCCGUAGGAAUCUGGGCCGUGUCUCAGUCCCAAUGUGGCCGGUCACCCUCUCAGGUCGGCUACUGAUCUUCGUCUUGGUGAGCCGUUACCUCACCAACUAACUAAUCAGACGCGGGGCCAUCCUGUACCACCGGAGUUUUUCACACUGCAUCAUGUGAUGCUGUGCGCUUAUGCGGUAUUAUCGACCGUUUCCAGUCGCUAUCCCCCAGUACAGGGCAGGUUCCCCACGCGUUACUCACCCGUCCGCCACUCAGUCACAAUCUCGUCACCCCGAAGGGAUCGUGAAAAGGUGCUUCGUUCGACUUGCAUGUGUUAGGCACGCCGCCAGCGUUCAUCCUGAGCCAA